UAACUAGAUGAUCACAUAGAGAAGAUUGGAAUGGAGAACCAGCCUUACUUCAUAGAGCAGUGCUGAAAGAAAUAUUCUCAGCUGAGCCUCAUAGAUUUCAUCCAGUCCUUCCAAUCACAGUUUGUUUUUCAGUCUUUCUCUUCCUCUGGAUCCCAUUCACUUUUCCUUCAUAUAUUGUUUUGUUUCACGAUUCAAUUCUUCCCAUUCUCUCUAAAAGAACAAAUCAUUUCCACAUGCUCCUUUCCUAACUGCAAAUCAUUAAGAUUUUUGGCCAACGACACAGCAUCAUCAUUAAAAGAAACAGACAUCAGCCUCCCCAAAGCAACAGUUCUAACGUUACCACAUGCAUUCCUUAUGCAUUUAAGAAUAUAUGUAGAAAUAUGCCCGUACAUGUUUGUGCGUGAUAUGUGCAACAAAUAAACAAGUGUAAUGUAA